UGUCGCCUGCCCAGUGAACUCCUGUUUUAAACGGCCGCGGUAUCCUAACCGUGCAAAGGUAGCGUAAUCACUUGUCCCCUAAAUAGGGACCAGUAUGAACGGCUAAAUGAGGGCCCAACUGUCCCAUAUGACCACUCAAUGAAACUGAUCCCCCAGUACAAAAGCUGGGAUAACACCACAAGACGAGAAGACCCUGCGGAACUUCAACCAUACCAUCAAUUCAAGCACCCCUUUUUAGCCAACACAGGCCUCACCAUAUCCACAAAUUGAUAACGGUUUAAGUUGGGGCGACUGUGGAGUAAAAAUCAACCUCCAUGUAACCCAUAUAAACAGGCCAACCAGCCUAAGUAUAGCGAACACGACCCAGUACUACUGACCAUCGAACCAAGCUACCCCAGGGAUAACAGCGCCAUCCUCUUUUAGAGUCCAUAUCGCCAAGAGGGUUUACGACCUCGAUGUUGGAUCAGGGCUCCCCAGUGGCGCAGCCGCUACUAAAGGUCCGUUUGUUCAACGGUUAAUGCCCU
rnacentral:rRNA from 1 species